CCUAACUCUUUACCCAUUUAAACCAAUUAUAUGAAUGUAGAGUAUUUGUCCUUCAACGUUGCUGUUAAUUUUGCAUAUUACAGAAAAAUGGUGUAUUAAUUUUUCCGUUGGAUAAUUAAAAUGAUGGAGUGGCGUAAAAUUUUUGUUAUUCAAAAGACUAGAAUUUAUUCAGUAUGACGUGACAAGGUUAUACUGUUGGGUUUACAGGGUCAACUGAAAACAUCAAAUAAUAAUCUUUUCUGUGGAGGAUGGCAGAAGCCUUCUUUGUGAGUCAUGUUUCGGUAUUCGACCCGAGACGAAUGGAAUGAUCAGUAAUGACAGUCUGAUGAGGAGUUGGUGUCUUGCUUUGGAUCCGCUAAUUUCGUCCAAAAAUAAACUUUAACAAGAUGUUCACAAAUUCAAAAGUUUGAUCCUCCACCAAAACC